GAUGAACGCUGGCGGCGUGCCUAAUACAUGCAAGUCGAGCGAACGGACGAGAAGCUUGCUUCUCUGAUGUUAGCGGCGGACGGGUGAGUAACACGUGGAUAACCUACCUAUAAGACUGGGAUAACUUCGGGAAACCGGAGCUAAUACCGGAUAAUAUUUUGAGCCGCAUGGUUCAAAAGUGAAAGACGGUCUUGCUGUCACUUAUAGAUGGAUCCGCGCUGCAUUAGCUAGUUGGUAAGGUAACGGCUUACCAAGGCAACGAUGCAUAGCCGACCUGAGAGGGUGAUCGGCCACACUGGAACUGAGACACGGUCCAGACUCCUACGGGAGGCAGCAGUAGGGAAUCUUCCGCAAUGGGCGAAAGCCUGACGGAGCAACGCCGCGUGAGUGAUGAAGGUCUUCGGAUCGUAAAACUCUGUUAUUAGGGAAGAACAUAUGUGUAAGUAACUGUGCACAUCUUGACGGUACCUAAUCAGAAAGCACGGCUAACUACGUG
rnacentral:rRNA from 1 species